AUUGAACGCUGGCGGCAGGCCUAACACAUGCAGGUCGAACGGUAACAGGAAGCAGCUUGCUGCUUUGCUGACGAGUGGCGGACGGGUGAGUAAUGUCUGGGAAACUGCCCGAUGGAGGGGGAUAACUACUGGAAACGGUAGCUAAUACCGCAUAACGUCGCAAGACCAAAGAGGGGGACCUUAGGGCCUCUUGCCAUCGGAUGUGCCCAGAUGGGAUUAGCUAGUAGGUGGGGUAACGGCUCACCUAGGCGACGAUCCCUAUCUGGUCUGAGAGGAUGACCAGCCACACUGGAACUGAGACACGGUCCAGACUCCUACGGGAGGCAGCAGUGGGGAAUAUUGCACAAUGGGCGCAAGCCUGAUGCAGCCAUGCCGCGUGUAUGAAGAAGGCCUUCGGGUUGUAAAGUACUUUCAGCGGGGAGGAAGGGAGUAAAGUUAAUACCUUUGCUCAUUGACGUUACCCGCAGAAGAAGCACCGGCUAACUCCGUG
rnacentral:rRNA from 1 species